AGCGAACGCUGGCGGCAGGCCUAACACAUGCAAGUCGAACGAACCCUUCGGGGUUAGUGGCGGACGGGUGAGUAACACGUGGGAACGUGCCUUUAGGUUCGGAAUAACUCAGGGAAACUUGUGCUAAUACCGAAUGUGCCCUUCGGGGGAAAGAUUUAUCGCCUUUAGAGCGGCCCGCGUCUGAUUAGCUAGUUGGUGAGGUAAUGGCUCACCAAGGCUACGAUCAGUAACUGGUCUGAGAGGAUGACCAGCCACAUUGGGACUGAGACACGGCCCAAACUCCUACGGGAGGCAGCAGUGGGGAAUCUUGCGCAAUGGGCGAAAGCUUGACGCAGCCAUGCCGCGUGGAUGAUGAAGGUCUUAGGAUUGUAAAAUCCUUUCACCGGUGAAGAUAAUGACUGUAGCCGGAGAAGAAGCCCCGGCUAACUUCGUGCCAGCCGCCGCCGUAAUAC
rnacentral:rRNA from 1 species